AUUAAAUGUAUUUUUAUUAAUUUAAAACGUUAACAUUUUGACCUUUGCAUUAUUUUAUUUUAAGACGCUGAAUGACAUUUGGAAUAAGGACGAUGCGGAAUGGCAACAUUUAAUUAUACUCAAGUAAUUAUAUUCAAAAUUGCUCAUGCAGACGUUUUUGGUGAUGUCGCUUUAAGAAAAUGUCCCUCGCUUGGCUUGAGUCGAUCAAUUUAGGCGAUUGAUGCUGGCGUGCUCUGACAGAACCUCGCACGUUUUUCAACGCGGAGUCUGUUUUGGAGUUAAUAUUUCUCAGGUAAAUGCGGAAUAAUGUUAUAUAAUCUAAUUUAUACACGUGGGACGCCAUCUUCGGUUAAUUUUGUUGAACUUGAUGUUCCCCUGCUCUAGUCCGCUAAAAAUGCUUGCGUCAGACGUGGUGUAACGUACGUUGGGCUGCAGGAUGGAGCUGGCUAGAAUGUCUAGCUAACUUAAUAAAGGAGUUAAUACAAUUUGGUGUCACUGAAGUCACUGAAGAGGAGAGGAAAAAGUUUGAAGACAAUGAUGUGGAUGGAGAGACUGUUGACAUCGGACUGAGUCAAUGAUUUCAUUCCUCUUUGAGGGAUCAUUUAAAAAACAAGCAAAAUUCCAUCGAUUUAUUCAGCAGAUGAAGGAGACAGUGACAUUAACUCUUGAACCUGUCCAUGUAGAAAGCCAGUCAAGAGCUGGAGCAAGGUAUCCAACUACAGAAGAGUAUGUUCAAGAGGCUAAGGCCCUGACUCUGAGGUAUCCCUUUUUAAAAGACAAAGAGGGCAAUGGAUUUUUAAGUAGCUGGUUUACCUUUUAAUGUUCUACUUUUGGUUCUUGGUUAAUGGAGUUUAUUUUGUGAAACUACUUUUCUUUUUGUUUUUUUAUAGCACACUUGGCACAUGUCUCUGAAACGCAAGUUUAAAUUUGAGCAGACACCUUUGGCUGAAGUUGAAGUAGUGAAACGACUUAAACAGAAGUUUGGUCAUUCAAAAAAGUCUCUGCAACCUGAAGAAAGCAGUUGCAAAGAAAUUACAAGGCCUUUGAUUAAUGCUGUUGGAGAGGAUGCUGCAUCAAUAGAGGGACAUGUGAAAGUCCUGCAGGACCAAUAUAGAAGGACACAGCCAGAUACUCGCAUUGUUGAAGAUCGAAUGAGGAGGACCUUUGCCUGGAGGCAGCAGGAGAUUACUAGUGGUAUGACUGUUGAAGAUGUCGUCAACAAAUAUCCAUUCUUGAAGAGUCCAACAGGGCUUUAUCAAUAAAUUGGUUUCCUGUAUAAAUGUGUUCAUCUGAGCCGCCAUUUUCGAGAACAUUUUGGACCCAUUACAUCCAGCGUGCUACGGCUUGCUCAAGAGAAAUCCACAUUAGCAAAGCUCCAUGAAGAAGCUGGAGAAGAAUCUCUCUUUAAAAACCAUCUUGGAAUUGAUUUUAAAGCAGCACUUCUCAUGUUGC